UGGUGAAGCAGGUGGUGGAACAAAUUCACUAGGGGGUGAUGAUUUUGUUGAGGAUUUAUCAAGAGGAGGAGGAGAUGAGUGGCCAGAUAUAGGGGGCGACUCAUUCUUUGCCGGGGUAGGAGGAGGAGGAGAAUAGGAAGAUGAUGGUGGUGGUGACAAAUUGGGCGAUGGAGAUGGCGGUGGUGGUGAGGCUGCAGGAGGAUGUGAAUUUGUUGGAGGUGGCAGACUAUGAGGAG
rnacentral:misc_RNA from 1 species